rnacentral:tRNA from 1 species
AGUGCCAUGGCUUAGCUGGCUAAAGCCCCUGCCUAAUAAACAGGGGAUCCUGGCUUCAACUCCCAGUGGUGCCU